AGGGGCAUGGUGUCAAUGGCUAGCACAUCGGUCUCCAAAACCGAGAGUCUAGGUUCGAAUCCUAGUGCCCCUGCCA
rnacentral:tRNA from 1 species